rnacentral:rRNA from 1 species
UACGGAGGGGGCUAGCGUUGUUCGGAAUUACUGGGCGUAAAGGGCUCGUAGGCGGCCAACUAAGUCAGACGUGAAAUCCCUCGGCUUAACCGGGGAACUGCGUCUGAUACUGGAUGGCUUGGAUUUGGGAGAGGGAUGCGGAAUUCCAGGUGUAGCGGUGAAAUGCGUAGAUAUCUGGAGGAACACCGGUGGCGAAGGCGGCAUCCUGGACCAACACUGACGCUGAGUGAGCGAAAGCCAGGGGAGCAAACGGG